rnacentral:rRNA from 1 species
CCUACGGGAGGCAGCAGUGAGGAAUAUUGGUCAAUGGACGAGAGUCUGAACCAGCCAAGUAGCGUGAAGGAUGACUGCCCUAUGGGUUGUAAACUUCUUUUAUAAAGGGAUAAAACGAGGCACGUGUGCCUUUUUGCAUGUACUUUAUGAAUAAGGAUCGGCUAACUCCGUCCCAGCAGCCGCGGUAAUACGGGGAAUCCGAGCGUUAUCCGUAUUUUUUGGGUUUAAAGGGGGCUUAGGUGGGUUGUUAAGUUAGUUGUGAUAGUUUGCGGUUCAACCGUAAAAUUGCAAUUGAUACUGGCAGUCUUGAGUACAGUUGAGGUAGGAGGAAUUCGUGGUGUAGCGGUGAAAUGCUUAGAUAUCACGAAGAACCCCGAUUGCGAAGGCAGCUUACUAAACUGUGACUGACAUUGAUGCUCGAAAGUGUGGGUAUCAAACAGGAUUAGAUACCCCUGUAGUC